UGGAGGCUGUUCUGGCAAAGGCCAAAAAUGUCCCCUUCCUGCCAUCGCAGGGAGGACGUGGCCUAGCCAUGCAGGCUCUCAGGAACUCCCUCCCUGCUGCUGUCAGUGCUGAAGAAGAUGCACGUGUCUGCCCUGACCCUCAGCUCGGGGGCUGCCCUGUCAGCACCACCACGCUUGUCUGCUUCCCCUCGAAUGCCAAAGCACUGAGGAUGUCCAUCUGUCUGUCCAUCCGUCUGCUGUCACUCAGCCAUGCACAUCAGCCCUUGCAGCACAGACACCCAGCUGGGCAGCCGCUGCCCACGUCUGGAGGAUGCUGCUGUGAAAAGGGGAUUUCAGCAUGGGCUGUGUCAGGGAGAGCUGUCACUUCGGUGGACGUUUUGGGGUUGAAUGGCUUCAGCUUUACUAGAGGCUCUUGCUAUUCUUGCUGCAGAGAUGAACAAGGAGAUGCUUAGACUUCAGUUCUCCCAGCUCGAUGUACAGCUUUCGCAAAGGAUGAAUUUGAUGGAGCCACCAGCCUGUCAAACACAGAUCACGUGGAGCCAUCUGUUCCUUCUCUAUUCAGGGACUUUCUGUCUAAAACCAGUGGCAAAAGGAAGAUCCACAGCAGGCUGUAAGGUUUUUCUGGCUAUGCAGCACAGGAGGGUUCUGCUGGGGAUGGGGCUGUUGGUCUGUCCGUUCAUUCAAGUCAUCGUUGCUGUUUGGCAGUUAUUUUGUUUGGUAAUAGUACGAGCGCGUGCAGUGCUGGGGCUGCCCCAUAGACAGCCAUGCUUUCAUCACUCAGCUGCUCUCUGAGUCCAUCUUUCCAGAUCAUUGACCUCCUCAGAGCAGGGCUCCUGGCAUUAUGUAAGCAUUGAGAUUCAAGCUUUCCCAGGGCUUAGCUCUGAAAGCAGGAGCUGAGACUACCUGAGCAGGAUGGGGACUGAAGCAACUUUGAUGCUGGUCUCUGGAGGCCGAUUAUGAAUCAGGUGUGUUUCUGCAAAGCAAAUGGGCUCCCCUCUCCAUUUUGUCAAAGGAACAAACUGGGCUGGAAGGCAGAGCCUGGUAGGCCAGCUGCUUCCUAGCUGGAGCCUUGAAAACGUUGCUGAAUUUAAUGGUGUUGGGAAGGAUGGAAUCAGAAUGGUGGUGAAAGAGGCAUCACCAGUGCUGUUAUAAAUAGAGCAGCCGUGAUAACUGCUCAGGAGGGUUUUUAGUCUUUGGGAUUUGGAGGAUAAGCUCUGAGCUGUGCUGAGAGGUCCAUUAUCUGUGGCUUUUGUAGGAGAUAGGGGAAUCUGCAGGGGAAUGAGGGCAGUGGAUGAGUGCAGGUUUGGGAAUCGUCCCUUUUGUGAAUCUGAGUGUGACCCUGUUUUAAGGCUUUCUGCUACGUGCUGCUGCCUCUUGCACUGCUCUGCCUGCUCUGAAGUGGUUGCACCACACGUGGCUGCAGCAAUGGUUUCAGACCAACCCAGAGCCCUGCUGCAAGGAUGCACGGAUUCACUCCAGCACCCAUUGUAACCACGCAGCCUGCAGGCAUUCAGCAUCGUGCAAGAACUUUGCUGGCUUUGCACCUAAGAAAUCUUUCCAAGCAUUGAGAUUCAGGCAAAGGACCCCUGUGCUCUGUGGCCUAGAUAGCUCUCAGGGCUGGCACAGCUCAGGCAUUCUGGUGCCCGCAGCACUGGCAUACAGAGCAUUGUGUCCAGCCUCACCAUCAGGCACCCACCUGUGUGUACCCGAAGCUGGACUCAGCUCUGCCAGCAUCACAGCCAUGUCCUGCCACAUGUCUCUUCCCCUUUCAGGGUCAUUUUCAGACUGGGUCACUUCGCAGCCAGGUUCCUGCAGAUCACAUGCAGAAGAGUUUGCAUAAAGCAGCCAAGGGAAGGAUGCACUGAGGUGCUAGGGAGGCACAGCCUGCUCCUGAGCCGGCAUCAUCAUUGAUGCCAUCAGGUCCCUGCGUGCCAUGUUGCUGUGUCCCAUGCAUGCAGGGACGUGUUUUGUAAGCUCUCUCAUGAUGUUUUUGCAGGGAGGUUUUGUGCCUUUUUGGAGCUGUAGGAGUGUGUUCGUGGGGCUGGUUUGGUGCAAGAGCGUGGCAAUAGAGCCUCUGUCCCAUUUCUCUGCUGUCACACAUCCAUGAGCCUCCCACAACAGCCAGACCCUGGGACCUGAGCUGCUGUGUCCCAGCCUGCAGGUGGGGAGAGUCACCUGUCACCCCGGGCUUGUGCCAGGUGGGUCAGUGCUGACACACGGCUGUCUGUCAGUGCGUCCGUACCUCUGUCAGCCUGAGCUGCACCUUCUGUCUGCCCCACGCGUGGGCGCACGUUUCAAGGUCACCCCAGGGCUUCCUAAACACUCCUUUCUGCUCUUUGCGUGCAGGCGGCGGAGGGGAAGAGUUUAAAAGAGACACUGCGCCUUUAAGAGAGGCCCAUGAGCUGGCUGCGGCCCUGCGGCACGGCCGCUGAUUGGCUGAACGGCGGGCAGGCGGGCGGGGGGCGGGGACAGCCAUUCAGAAACUCCGAGCUGCACUCGCUCCCUUAAAGGGGACGCGGCGGUGCAGAAAUGUAGGGCCGAGCCGGGGCGGUCGACCACCUGCCGUUCAUCGGGGCUGGCUCUGGUCACCGCUGGGUCCCCACGUACCCCAGAUGAACGCUGCUACCCUGGAUGGCUGACCGCCCUGACCCCCUGAUUACAGGGACAAUGCAAGUGGGCACCCGGAGCCCAUGGGACGUGGCAGUGCUUUAUUGCCAUGCCUGUGCAGAACUGAGUCAUGUUAAUAUUUAAUUCGAGGACUUCGUGUGAGAGGAAGGAAGUGACGGCAGGGGCUGAGAUGCCAGCAGCUCCCACUAAAGCUGCGCCACCUUCGUGCCGUGUAAAUAGCACCAGCUCUGGGAUUUCUUGAUGCUUUGCUGAAAUUAGCACCUGAAAAAAAGAGCAGCUGCCAAAGCCACAUUUAAAUAAGAUGGGCAGGCUUUGGUAGGAAGAGGAGAGCGGGUUGGAGAGUGCUUGGGUUCCUUGAAGUGCAUUUGGCCCCACACCAACCUCCUCAUGAGCCUGGUAACGCAUCCUGAGCCCCACACGGUGCUUCAGGGAGCAGUGCAGGCAGCAACCAGGAUUAUAAUCCUCUUGGUUGGGGCUGGCAGAUGACACGUGUGGCUCAUCAUAAAUGAGGAGGAAUGAAGCAACCCUCACACCAAGGACAGAACAGAGCUAGAGCAGGAAAAGCAGGCGGGGAGGUGCAAGAUGGGGAGGACUCCUUGAGGCUCAAGGGAAGUAUGGGGCCUCUGUCUGUAUGUGGCAAUGGGAUACCUGUAGAUAAGUGAGCUGGGGGAGGAAGCAGGAGGUGCAGGCAUGGACUUGCUAGGGGAAAAACAGAGCCAGUGCUUCUCUGAAUUGUUUAUUUCAGUUCUUAUUAAAGCAUUUUUCCCUAC